rnacentral:rRNA from 1 species
AUACGGAGGGUCCGAGCGUUAUCCGGAAUCAUUGGGUUUAAAGGGUCCGUAGGCGGGAAUCUAAGUCAGUGGUGAAAUCUUGCAGCUCAACUGUAAAAUUGCCAUUGAUACUGGAUUUCUUGAAUUAGUGUGUAGUGGUUAGAAUGUGUAGUGUAGCGGUGAAAUGAAUAGAUAUUACACAGAAUACCAAUUGCGAAGGCAGAUCACUAACACUACAUUGACGCUAAGGGACGAAAGCGUGGGGAGCGAACAGGAUUAGAAACCCCAGUAGUCC